rnacentral:rRNA from 1 species
CGCGUAGGCGGCUUUGUAAGUCAGAUGUGAAAGCCCCGGGCUCAACCUGGGAACUGCAUUUGAUACUGCAAGGCUAGAGAUCGAGAGAGGAAAGUGGAAUUACGAGUGUAGAAGUGAAAUUCGUAGAUAUUCGUAGGAACACCAGUGGCGAAGGCGACUUUCUGGCUCGAUACUGACGCUAAAGCGCGAAAGCGUGGGGAGCAAACA